GGAUAAGCUAUAAAGAGCACACGGAGGAUGCCUAGGCACCAGGAGCCGAAGAA
rnacentral:rRNA from 1 species